ACAACAGUCACAGCAUCCUGAAGUGCUGGCAGUGAUCCAAACUCAACAGGCAAAACUCCUUCCCAGAACUCAUCAUCAUCGACAGGGAAAUCAUACCAAUGUCGCACUCCGUCCCAAUGGCGAGGACCGUGGCCAGGUACUUGGUGUCGGAGCCGCGCUUCUUAAGCUUGACCUGGGUGUAGUGCUCCACGGAGUGGGCGUUUGUGAGGAC
rnacentral:sRNA from 1 species